rnacentral:rRNA from 1 species
GACGAACGCUGGCGGCGUGCUUAACACAUGCAAGUCGAACGGAAAGGCCCUGCUUUUGUGGGGUGCUCGAGUGGCGAACGGGUGAGUAACACGUGAGUAACCUGCCCUUGACUUUGGGAUAACUUCAGGAAACUGGGGCUCAUACCGGAUAGGAGCUCCUGCUGCAUGGUGGGGGUUGGAAAGUGUCGGCGGUUGGGGAUGGUCUCGCGGGUUAUCAGCUUGUUGGUGGGGUAGUGGCUUACCAAGGCUUUGACGGGUAGCCGGCCUGAGAGGGUGAACGGCCACAUUGGGACUGAGAGACGGCCCAGACUCCUACAGGAGGCAGCAGUGGGGAAUAUUGCACAAUGGGCGGGAGCCUGAUGCAGCAACGCCGCGUGCGGGAUGACGGCCUUCGGGUUGUAAACCGAUUUCGCCUGUGACGAAGCGUGAGUGACGGUAAUGGGUAAAGAAGCACCGGCUAACUACGUG